GUUGUGGAUUAUGAAUAAUAAAAUCAGAGCGGUCCCAUGGCAGCUUUGCUCCGAGGUGGGCUCCAGCCUGACCCACAGUCGUAGAAAAGGAAGCUGUACAUUUCCAGGGCUCCAAGUAAACACAGCCUGUUCAGGCCAUCUGGCGGCCUGGAUUCUGCAAGAGGUGGGAGUAGAGGGGAGAAAGAGAGACAAGUUGCCCUGGGGUGUGGAGAGCAGCUGCCCUGCUCGUUGCUGGCUGCUGCCAGGAGCCAUUCAGUAUUGGGGAAGAGAGGAUACUGGGAGGAAAACCAGGACAGGUGAGCACUCUGUGGGGUGGGGUGCAGCAUGCCUAUAAUGGAAGACUGAGGCAGGAGGACCACUCUGAGUUUGAGGCCCGCUUGCAUCACACAGUGAGUUUCAUGCCAGCCAAGGUUACAUAAGACCUCAUGUUAAACAAUAACAAUGAGAAGCCUGGCACUGAAGGUAGAGAACAGUGCCUCCUCUUCCUCUCAUUGGUCCCCCAAAGGUUGUAUGGUUCGAGAUGGUGUUUCAGGAAGAGGCUAUUCACUCAAAAUAAGGAAAAAGAAAGAAAGGAUUAAGAAUCAACAGGCCAGUCCUGCAAGCAGAGGGAUUUGUAGACCCAGCCCGGUUCCACAGCUUGUGAGUCUGCAGAUGACUGCCAUCUGAGGGAUCCACAGGAUUGUCCUCACAGUUCCAUGGAGGCUAAGUGGAGUCUUAGUGAUGACAGGUGACAAGUUCACAGUGCUGUGUGCUGUCUGAUCCACACCACUGGGAGAAGAUAGGUCCCUGGGAGUGGACGGCAGCUGUGAGCACCCUGGGCAUGGAAUGUAAGUUUUGAGAACUUACGCUUACAGAGGUAAACAGGCCUCCUGUUUUUCCUAUAACUGUCUUAGGGUCUCAGUGGCCCUCAGUCUCUUUCCCUCUGCCUCUCACUUACUCAACCUUGAUGCUACAACCCAGGAAAACCUUUAAGAAGCCCAGGAUCAGAAAGAUGGCUCAGCAUGUAAAGGCACUCACUGCUAAGCCUGGAGAUGUCAGUUUGACCCUGGGAACCCACAAGGUGGAAAGACACUCAACUCCUGAAGGCUAUCCUAUGGGCUCUAUAUCUAAACCAUGGUAUGGGGAACCCUCUCACAUUAAUAAUAAAUCAGAAUAAAAAAUGGUGGCUGGGGCUGGAUAGAUGACUUAGCAGUUAAGAGCACUGGAUGCAGUUCCAGGAGAGUGGGAUUUGAUUCCCAGAAUCCCCCUGGGGGCUUAGAACUGUCUAUAAACUCCAGUUCCCAUGGAUCCGAUGCCUUCUUCCAGCCUUCUCAGGCAUCAAGCAUCCGCAAGGUACACAGACAUAUGCAAAGGAAAAGUACUCGGACUUGUCUAAAAGAGAAACAGGACCAACCAGGGCCUCUUCUCCUUAAUAUCACCAAAGCAAGGAAGAACUCUCCCCUGCCCCCUGCCCCCUGCCCCAGCCUCCCUUGCUAAAGCCAGAGCAAGGGUUUUGAAGUCUAAGAAGUUCAUGGUGAAUGGCUGCCAUAGCCACAUGCUGACCCAUCAUCCAUUGUCCAGCAGCGCAGUCAUCCUGGGAGAAUGUCCUCUGAUGAAACCAGGUUGAUCAUGGACCAUCAUCAGCCUCCCUGGCUAUGGAGUCAGUCACAGAAAAGACCGAAGUGCCAUGCUGGUGGUCCUCACGGAAGUCAGGGUUAAGAGCUUGAACAGACUUGGAGGGAGCUGUGUGUGGUUGGUGUUGAGCAACACCUCCCAGCUGGACUGAAAGAGGGCGUGUGCUCAACUGGCUCCUCACCAGCGGGACUUUGGGUGUUGCCAGCAAAAGGGGGACGAUCCAAACUCAGCCCCGGAGGCUAGUUCUAAAUAUGUAUAUAUUUUUUCACAAUAAAAAAAAUUGUAGGUGAAAACUGUCUAAGUAGGUUUGAAAAGAAGGCUAUUGAAAAGGGAAGGCAGAGCCAAGUGUGAUAAGCUGUACACCUAAACUCCCAGUACCAUGGAAGCUCUGAAGUCCCAGCAAAUUCCUGUAAGGCCACAGGGGCUAAACAUUACAGCCCAGCACACUUAUUUCGCAUAAUAAACCCCUCCUCCUGGAUUCUUCAAGGCAAGAUCUCUCUGUGGAACAAUUCUGGAUGUCCUGGAACUCACUUUGUAGACCAGGCUGGCCUUGAACUCACAGAGAUCUGCCUGCCUCUGCCCCCUAACUAAAGGCAUGUGCCACCAUGCCUGGCAAAAAUCAUUUCUCAAUAACAAUAGAGGGACACCGGACAAGAAUGGUCACAGGCAUCUCCUGUUCCGUGUGAUGAUGCUGAGACCCAAGACUGAAGCAACGAGACCUUAGGAGUGUCGGAACCAGGGAUGAGGGUGGCGACCAAGAGUUCUGGGUCCCUGAAGCUUUCAGAAAGGCAUGCCUACUCUAAGUGCAGUAAGAAAGUGAAGGCCUGGUGUGGAGGCACACGCCUGUGAUUGUGGACACGAGGGGGUCAGGACAACUUCGAGGAGUGGGCUUCUCUCCUUCCUACUUUACAUGGACUCUGGGGCCCAAACUCAUGUUACCAGGACAUGCCGAGCCAUCUUACAGCAGGCCUCUAUGACUUAAAAAAAAAUUACAUUUAUUUUUUUACAUUUAUUUUACAUGCCAAAGCUGUUGCGGAAGUCAGAGGACAUAGAGUCAUUUUUACAUGUUGAGCCAUUUUGUGGGUCGCUCUAUGACUUUUUAAAAACCUGUCUUCUCAUAUAUUGUAUCUACGAUCUACACAGAUUAAGAUAAGAGGUGGGGUCAGGGCACAGUGGUGCACUCCUUUAAUCCCAGCAUUUGGGAAGCAAAGGUCAGUGGAUCUCUGAGUUCCAGGCCAGCCUGGUGUACACAGUGAUACCCUGUCUGGGUUUUUUCAUUUGUUUGAUUGUUUGAGUGUGAGUGUUUUGCCUGCAUGUAUAUAUAUGUGUACCAUGUGUAUGCCUGGUGCCUGCAGAAACCGGAAGAAGGCAUUGGAUCCCCUGAAACUAGAGUACAGAUAAUUGAGAUCUGGGUGCUGGCAACCGAGCCCAGGUACUCUGCAAGAACAAAAAGUACUCUUUACUGCUGAGCCAUCUCUUCAGUCCCGAAACCAUGUCUAGAAGAAGAGGAAGAAGAGGAGGAGGAGGAGGAGGAGGAGGAGGAGGAGGAGGAGGAGGAGGAGGAGGAGGAAGAAGAAGAAGAAGAAGAAGAAGAAGAAGAAGAAGAAGAAGAAGAAGAAGAAGAAGAAGAAGAAAGGAGGAGGAGGAGGAAGAAGAGGAGAAGGAAGAGGGAGAGAGGGGGAGGAAGAAGCUGGGGGUGUGGUCCAGUGACAGUGUCUAACAAGUACAAAACCCUGGCUUCAAUCCCUAGUACCAGAGAAACUGGACGUAGUGGCAAAUUUCUAUAAUCCCAGCACUUGGGAAGUAAAGGCAGGAGGGUCAGAAGUUCAAGGCCACCCUCAUCACUCACUGCAUAGCAAGCUUCAGUCUAACUUAACGUCCAUGAGAUCCUGUCUCAAAAUGACAAGCACUCCCCCCACACUGUUGAUCAUGAAUGCUGUGUCUGAUAGAGCUCCACCUUCCUGCCCCCAUUGUUAGGUCACUUGCUUUUAUUUGUAGUUGCUUUGGGGGGACUCUCCCCAAGCCAGAAAGUAAACUCUAGGGCGAUCCAGACCCUUUGUGCUUUGUUGACCAGAGUGCUUGGCAUAGCAGGCUCUUCAUAGACACAGACUUUCCUGAGGGCUGAUUGCAGGCUGUCUAAUCAUAGGUGAGUAGUCAUGAGAACGCUGAGAUUUCAGGGCACAAAGCAACCUCAAAGGACACACCCGUCAUCCGCAGUGCUGCAUGGCAAGGGGCAGGGGGCCCGUGAGACUCGGAGGCGAAACGAUAGACCCAGGGUCACUUGGACUUCUAGAAUACCGGUGCACUUUUUAUUAAAGAAGAGAAUAAAGCAUUUGUAAAUAUAUUUCUCUCAUGUAUACUUCAAAGGUGACGCUGAUCGGCUGCUACAGAACUGGGGAAGUGAACAGGCCUGAAUUCCUCCCCAUCCCCAGAUGACAGGGACACACAGAGGGUCUGGAGGUGCCCAGCCCCAAAGGACAAAAGGUUCCAAGUCGUGUGAACAGAAGGAUCCAGCUGCCAACUGGCAUCCCAGUGCCACCUGGAACAGCGUAGCCUCUCCAGGGAUGUCAGACAUGCUUGAUAAGAAAGCCCCUUUACCCAUUAGAAGGAGGUAAGGCAUGACGGUUCCUCCUGGGCUCCCAGCACUGAGACCACAGUCACUGCCUCCUGCCGGAUUGUAUGGCUCCUUUGAUUUCUAGAAUCUUGAGAAGGGUGGCGGAAGGAACCAGAAGUCCUGAAGGACUGCUGAGGGCAAGCUGGAGCCCUGGGCAUGUCUUAAGUGAUGCUUGACUUUCUGAAGUUUUAGACUAAAAUACUGAACCCUUGACCCAGGUGGGGCCUCAAAAGUCAUCCCCAUAGAGGCGGGAGGUAAAGAAGAGGCAUUCUGUAGAAAGGUGGAAGAGGAGACAGUUCUUCCUCAACUUAAGAACACAACGCAACAUGAGGGCCCGGCAGUGGUAGAUCACACCUUUAAUCCCAGCACUUGGGAGGCAGAGGCAGGAGGAUCUGAGUUGGAGACCAGCCUGGUCCACAGAGUGAGUUCCAGGCCAGCCAGGGCUACACAGAGAAUCCCUGUCUCAAAAAAACAAAACAAAACAAAGCAAAACAAAAAAACAGAUCAAAGCCCAACCAAACAAAACAAGUAAGGGUCCUACAGUCCCUGGUGAAGGACAGGCAUGAACACUUGGACCUGGGUUGGUGACACUCCUACAGGACAUUCUGAAGGCUGCAGAUGUGAACUGUCCCUGGGUGGCCUGAGGAAGAGAGGACUGGAUGAGACAUCAUGGUCCCUGAGAUGGGGGCAGGCGCAGAGAAAGGAAUGAAAGCAAAGGUGGUUUGCAGGCUUGGGGAGGGAGGAAGGGGUGAAACUCCCUACCAUCCCGGCCCCUGGAAGGCUUCAUGCCUAGAGGAUAACUCCAGGAAUGGAACUUGGCUCUGAGAGGAAAGGGACACUACCCGUGUAUGGCUGUUGUGGGGUUCUCUCUUCCUCUAUUCAGACUGGCUAUAGAUCUGUGGUGAGCAGAAGCCCUUUGCCAGGGCUGGAGGGGAUACACUCGAGCCUGGCUAAACUUCCUGCUCUGCAAGGUGGGGGCUAUCUGUGGCCUGCUCAGACCUCUGGGAGUGGUACAGCUGGUGCGAAGGGAAUGACAGUCAUAACUGGCAAGAAGCAGUGAGUGGUCUGGGAGACUCCAGACACCAGCAAUGGCUGGCUCUGAGGUCCCCUUUCAAGUGUUUCCAGUUGUGACAAGGCUUCAGGAGGCCUUGCAUUGCAAAUCUCUCAGAAAAAAAAAAAAAAAAAA